rnacentral:lncRNA from 8 species
AUGGAGGAACGUAUGGAGUGGAGGGCGCCGUGUUUUUCUGAAGUGCGCACAAUCUCGCCCAUACGCACGCACAGUCCGGUGCGAGUUAUUCCAGCCCCUCGCGGAUGCCGUGCUAGAGUGGGCAUCCAGCCUGGUAGGAGGAUGCCUGUGCAGCGCGUCUGGUCGCCGGUACGCCUCCUAGGACCAGGCUACCCUACUCCCGCUCUACGCACGGCAACCAUCAGGCCCCUGCACAGCCCAGUUCGCCCUGUACUAGCACCCCGCUCGUACAGGGCUACUAGUUCCAUCCAGUCAGGACGGGUUGUGCAGGAGGUAAGAUCAAGACCGCCUGUGCGCCUCCAUAGCCCUGGGUUUCCAGUUCCUGCCUCUCGUGCGGACCCGGAAGUGCGUCAGCCCAGUCCGACUCGUCCUGUUCCCGCUCCCCGCACUAGCCUGGAGGUGCGUGUUCCCAGUCUGGCACGUCCAGUACCAGCACCACGCACCAGGCUUCAAGUGCGUCAGCCCAGUCCGACUCGUCCUGUUCCCGCUCCCUGCACUAGCCUGGAGGUGCGUGUUCCCAGGCUGAUAACCCCAGUACCAGCACCAGGCUUCCAGUGCGUCGGCUCAGUCAGGAGCCGCCAGAGCUGCCCAUCAGUAAGGAGCCGCCAGAGCUGCCCGUCAGUCAGGAGCCGCCCGUCAGUCAGGAGCUGCCAGUGCUGCCCGUCUGCCCGGAGCUGCCAGUGCUGCCCAUCUGCCCGGAGCUGCCAGUGCUGCCCGUCUGCCCGGAGAUGCCAGUGCGGCCCGUCUGCCCGGAGAUGCCAGUGCGGCCCGUCUGCCCGGAUCAGCCAGAGUGGCCCGUCUUCCCGGAUCAGCCAGAGUGGCCCGUCUUCCCGGAUCAGCCAGAGUGGCCCGUCUUCCCGGAUCAGCCAGAGUGGCCCGCCUGCCCGGAUCAGCCAGAGUGGCCCGUCUGCCCGGAUCAGCCAGAGUGGCCCGUCUGCCCGGAUCAGCCAGAGUGGCCCGUCUGCCCGGAUCAGCCAGAGUGGCCCGUCUGCCCGGUUCAGCCAGAGUGGCCCAGUUCAGCCAGAGUGGCCCGGUUCAGCCAGAGUGGCCCGGUUCAGCCAGAGUGGCCCGGAUCAGCCAGAGUGGCCCGUCUGCCCUGAUCAGUCAGAGUGGCCCGUCUGCCCAGAGUCUGCCGAUGACCCGAAACCAAGGGAGUCUAGCAGCAACCCUGAACUGAGUAAGCCUGACAAUUCAGAACUUAAAGUGAUUAACUGUCUAAUGAUUGAGUCUGCCUACAGUGUGGAAAGGAGGAGGUCAGCCUACGAUCUGGAACGAGGGGUGUCUGCCUACGGCCCGAAUCGGAUUAAGUCGGUCGGCAUUCUGGAGGACAGUACCUGA